rnacentral:rRNA from 1 species
AGUGAACGCUGGCGGUAGGCCUAACACAUGCAAGUCGAACGGCAGCACAGGAGAGCUUGCUCUCUGGGUGGCGAGUGGCGGACGGGUGAGGAAUACAUCGGAAUCUACUCUGUCGUGGGGGAUAACGUAGGGAAACUUACGCUAAUACCGCAUACGACCUACGGGUGAAAGCAGGGGACCUUCGGGCCUUGCGCGAUUGAAUGAGCCGAUGUCGGAUUAGCUAGUUGGCGGGGUAAAGGCCCACCAAGGCGACGAUCCGUAGCUGGUCUGAGAGGAUGAGCAGCCACACUGGAACUGGGACACGGUACAGACUCCUACGGGGGGCAGCAGUGGGGAAUAUUGGACAAUGGGCGCAAGCCUGAUCCAGCCAUACCGCGUGGGUGAAGAAGGCCUUCGGGUUGUAAAGCCCUUUUGUUGGGAAAGAAAUCCAGCUGGCUAAUACCCGGUUGGGAUGACGGUACCCAAAGAAUAAGCACCGGCUAACUUCGUGCCAGCCGCCGCCGUAA